AUUGAACGCUGGCGGCAGGCUUAACACAUGCAAGUCGAGCGGAGAGAGGUAGCUUGCUACUGAUCUUAGCGGCGGACGGGUGAGUAAUGCUUAGGAAUCUGCCUAUUAGUGGGGGACAACAUUUCGAAAGGAAUGCUAAUACCGCAUACGUCCUACGGGAGAAAGCAGGGGAUCUUCGGACCUUGCGCUAAUAGAUGAGCCUAAGUCGGAUUAGCUAGUUGGUGGGGUAAAGGCCUACCAAGGCGACGAUCUGUAGCGGGUCUGAGAGGAUGAUCCGCCACAAUGGGACUGAGACACGGCCCAGACUCCUACGGGAGGCAGCAGUGGGGAAUAUUGGACAAUGGGCGGAAGCCUGAUCCAGCCAUGCCGCGUGUGUGAAGAAGGCCUUAUGGUUGUAAAGCACUUUAAGCGAGGAGGAGGCUACUUUAGUUAAUACCUAGAGAUAGUGGACGUUACUCGCAGAAUAAGCACCGGCUAACCCUGUGCCAGCAGCCGCCGUAA
rnacentral:rRNA from 1 species